AGGUGGCUAGAGAGAAGGGAGACAAUGCCGGCUGGUCUGGUCCUGUGGUCAAAGGUUAGGAUCAGAAAUUCGUUCUUCAUCUAAUCAGCAAGGAGGAGCAAUGAUGAAGAAGAUGAGGAACAUCUUCAUCAUUCAGAGCUGUCCUGUUGCUUCAGAGACUCAGCAGAACACACACGCCUGCUCCUCAGGCCCUUGUUAAAUACUCUGUCACAUGGAGAAAUUCUCCUGCAGGCAGGUGGCCCAGCAGGGAUCCCCUUAUGACUGGAAUCAGAGUUUGCACAGACUCCUAUGAGUGUGAUCAUCUAUCUCAUGCUCCUGUCACCAUGCUGGCCAUGAUGGACUGUAUCCUUCAAACUGUGAGCCAAAACCAACCCUACCUGAUAAGAAACUAAGCAUCAGAUGGUCAAAAGAACUGCUAG